UCGAUUUUUAAUUAAUAAUUGAAGGAAUUUUUCUAAAAAUUAUUGUUCUUGAUUUUUAAUCCAUGGUUUUAUCGAAGAAUUAUGACGCUUAUUCCAUUGAUGACAAUUUUUUUUCUAUCAAAAAACUAUGACUGUCUAAAAUGUAAAGACCACCUGCUAUCAAAUGUUCUACACGCAAUAUAUUCCUAGUGUGUUAGGUUUCAAGAUAAUAAUAAUACUAACCCGAUGCAAAGGAAAUUCAAUAGGGUCGCUCACUGUGAAGAGGAAAAACUUCAUAUCAAGUAUUUAUAUUACAACUGGUUUGCAGAAGAAAAUACAAUUUACAUCUUUAAAAAAGAUGAUUGACUAUUAAUAAUAGACAAUGGAACAAUCUAGAGUAUUAUAAUGGCUUAAACACCUAAUUACAAAGUUUAUCAUCGUUGUAAAAUUUAUGUAGUCAUAUCUUAUACACCAGGAUGGAAAAUUACAGAGGCUAGAAAAUAAAGAGAGAGAAGUCAUCAAGAAAAUUGUCAGUUGCAUCGUAAAAUAGAUAAUGCAAUAAGAAUUCUUGUCUAGACUUUAGAAGCUUUAUCUUACAAGUCUUUACAUAGGAAUGAUAAAUUUGCAAUAAUAGAGUACUUGCAAACUCGUUUACAUCUACAGAUUUUACAUUACAGAACUGAAAUGCAAAUAUAAUCAUUAUUUCUCGACAAAUAUUAGUUGAGAUUAUUUCCACAGUUUAUAUUUCACCA